CUCCUCCCUCCUCUCCUACCCAAAUCCCAGGGAAGAAAUGGGAGGGAGUUACGCGGGACGCGUGCUUGGCUCCAGCACUUUGGGAAUGAAAGGAAUUGCAGGAGAGCCCCGGAGCCCACAGAGUUUUCAAGGAGCUUCUGUAUUCAAUAAAAACAGCUACUUGUCUACUUGCACCCGUCUGUUAGCCUCUCGUUCGUCGGCGGGGGAGGGGAGGAGCCCAGCGUCUGAUUUGCCACACCGCUGGAGUUCUGGGCUGGCAGCCGUAACCUUAUCCUUGUGCAAAAAUCUGCUUCUUAUAGCAGACGUGGAACCGGAGGAUACAUUGCUCUGCCCGCUCCGAAAAGUAUUUUUAUUUUAUUUUAUUUUAUUUUUUGUGUCUUUAAACUGAGAGUUAGAAGGGAUGAAGGUGAGAUGGAGGGACCUAGAAGGUCAAAACACUUGAUCUUAUAGGGAAGCUGUCCUUGGAGAUCUGAAACUGACAAGUUUCUCUCUUAAAAUGUUUAAAUUCUGCACUAGCUUCAUUCAGUCUCGUCUCUUAAAGAGCUGAACUGUACCCUGAAACAGGAGGAGAAAGAUGUAUGGGAGCUGACAUUGAGGGGAAUAGAUUUGGCAUUUGCUAAGCUCCUGUGUGUCAGCAAAAAUAUAACAUGACUUUUUACAAAGUGGUACAGGACAGCAUCAACAUCUCUAUCAGUAGAAGGAGAUGGGGUUUAAACAUUUUCAUGAACCAUGCGUCAUGGCCAAAGUGUUUAUCUUGAAGGCAGUCUCCAAUAAAUAUUCUACAAGCAAAUCUCUGUUUAAAUCUAUUUCCUGGAAACUUUACCUAAGAGGGUUGAUGUCAGAAGUAAUUUAAGGAAGCAAGAACAAUAAUGGUAUUUUGGAGUUGAAUCAUCAGUUGGUCAUCUGGCAAUGAGGACCUUUUACUGGUAGUAGAUAAAACAUCAUUAACCCCUGGCAUAAUGUAAAUGUGCAGUUGUUAAAAUGUUCAUCUGUGAUAAACUAGAAUGGGAUUUUGAUGAAAGCAAAUACACUGGCAGGUGCAGUAUCUCAGGCAUAUCAGAAGUUCAGAAGUAAGAGCUAUGAAACUGGAUGGAAGUUCUAAAUAUGAGAUGAUUAACCACCAACUAAAAGACUAUGCAUAAAAGCCAGAAUACCACCUUGGCAGUUAAUGAAGUAACCUUCAUUUUUUUUUUUUUUUUUUUUUUUUUUGUGAGUGAUUGGCAGAAAACAAAAA